GGCUGUUUCCUUUCCCCACAAUGAAGUACAUGUACGAUCACUACAUUUACAUAUUUAAUAACUAAAAACUAAUAGCAAGGUGAUUAUAUGAUAUUUUGAUAACAAUGUAUCAUAAAAUGUUUAUAGGUUUCAUUUCUGUAAAUAUUGACAAUGCAAUAGGAACUCCUUUUACGGCUAAAUCUGUACCACUUUUACUUGCAAGUUUUGAAAAAAAU
rnacentral:lncRNA from 1 species